rnacentral:rRNA from 1 species
AUUGAACGCUGGCGGCAGGCCUAACACAUGCAAGUCGAACGCACCGCAAGGUGAGUGGCGCACGGGUGAGUAACACGUGGGAAUGUACCCUUUGGUUCGGAAUAACGUCUGGAAACGGACGCUAAUACCGGAUGAGCCCUACGGGGGAAAGAUUUAUCGCCAAAGGAGCAGCCCGCGUCUGAUUAGCUAGUUGGUGGGGUAAAGGCCUACCAAGGCGACGAUCAGUAGCUGGUCUGAGAGGAUGACCAGCCACAUUGGGACUGAGACACGGCCCAAACUCCUACGGGAGGCAGCAGUGGGGAAUCUUGCGCAAUGGGCGAAAGCCUGACGCAGCCAUGCCGCGUGGAUGAUGAAGGUCUUAGGAUUGUAAAAUCCUUUCACCGGUGAAGAUAAUGACUGUAGCCGGAGAAGAAGCCCCGGCUAACUUCGUGCCAGCCGCCGCAGUAA